CUGAACAAGAUCGAUGUACUGCCAGUAAAGUCAGACAAUGACUAACAAUGAAUGUGUUCGGAUUCGCCGGCAAUGCUCAUAUUCCUGUUCAGGAAAAGAAUAAUCUCAUCCAUUAUUCAAUGAAAACAGAUUCUGCUCUAACGCCACUUCUAAGAAGUGUAUAGUUUUCCGGUGAAAGCGAAAGGAAGCCUUCUUGUCGUUAUAGCAUAACGCAGAUAUCUAAAAGUUGGAAUUAAUGAGAAUGGAGAUUCUAAGUUGGGAAAACUAAAGAAUAAAGAUCUCAAACCAACCAAUUAUACGAAAAGUCAUCAAUAUCUGGUAAAAAAACAAGCAAGCAACGCUAACAGUCAGAGAACUAUGAACUAUGUUGGAAGUGAAUAAUGACUUCAAGUAAGCGCGGUCAUAGAAGGAGCAAAAUCAACAAGAAAACUUUGUGCACCCUGUUGAAGAAACGUCCCAAGAACCAACCAAUUCAAACACGAAUCAAAAUCAACAAGAAAACUAUGUGCACCCUGUUGAAGAAACGUCCCAAGAACCAACAACUUUAAACAUGGAGCAAAAUCAACAAGAAAACUUUGUGCACCCUGUUGAAGAAACGUCCAAAGAACCAACAAGUUCAAACAUGGAGCAAAAUCAAGGAGAAAACUUUGUGCACCCUGUUGAAGAAACGUCCCAUGAAUCAACAACUUCCAACAUGCAUGGGGCCAAAUUAACAAUUACUAUUCUGGUGAAGAAUAUAUCAAUGAACAGCUCAGAUGGGAUUAGUAACUAGCUAUACCUUUGUUUCUUUAGGCGUAAACUYACAUUCUUGUUUAUUCAGAUCUGAGUCAAUUUUUGAUAUUCUGGCCUAAUUAAUGUUAAUCACUAUAAUGUUGUAAUGUUACAAUGUUAUGUUGACGGCACACCCUUCAGUAUACCCGUUAAUUUAGUCUACAGUGUGUAAAUAGACAACAAAAGAAUUUUCAAGUUUCCUAAUCGCUUUAAUGAUAGCCAUCACCUGACCCGCCUCAUGUUUUAUUUUACAAAUAUACUCAAGCUAUGUAAAUUAAUGAGAAUAUUUCAUUGCAUCUUUUUAAUGAAAUCCUCUUAACUACAGUUUAAGCACAAACCACCCAAGCAAGACAUUUUUUUAAUAAAAUACAUCCUACCUUAA